rnacentral:lncRNA from 1 species
CAUCUAUGCCAACAAAUAUGACAGUACUUACAAAAUUGAGGGAAGUAUAUUCUACAGUAUGUGCACUUGCAAAGACUCAUCUAAGCCUUUCUUGCUGAAACCUGGGAAGUAUGGGCUUCUUCAACAUGUCUGGUAAGUAGUGAAAUCCCAUAAUGCGAGGCGCUUGAGGCAGCAUAAUAGGACGUCACGGUGAGUUGCGCAAACUUCGGAAGUGCAUAACCUACAAUUCACAUUUUAACACCAAAUUGAACUACCCAUAGAUCCAAACUCAAGAAACCAAAUUGAUGCGAAAAAAAAAAAAA